GACGAACGCUGGCGGCGUGCUUAACACAUGCAAGUCGAACGAUGAAGCUGGAGCUUGCUCUGGCGGAUUAGUGGCGAACGGGUGAGUAACACGUGAGAAAUCUGCCCUUGACUCUGGGAUAACUGCGGGAAACUGUAGCUAAUACCGGAUACUUUCCCUGGUGGGCAUCCACUGGGGAAGAAAGAAUUUCGGUCAAGGAUGAUCUCGCGGCCUAUCAGCUUGUUGGUGAGGUAAUGGCUCACCAAGGCGACGACGGGUAGCCGGCCUGAGAGGGUGACCGGCCACACUAGGAUUGAGACACAGCCCAGACUCCGACGGGAGGAAGCAGUGGGGAAUAUUGCACAAUGGGCGCAAGCCUGAUGCAGCAACGCCGCGUGAGGGAUGAAGGCCUUCGGGUUGUAAACCUCUUUUAGCAGGGAAGAAGCGAAAGUGACGGUACCUGCAGAAAAAGCACCGGCUAACUACGUGCCAGCCGCCGCCGUAA
rnacentral:rRNA from 1 species